rnacentral:rRNA from 1 species
UACGAAGGGGGCUAGCGUUGUUCGGAGUUACUGGGCGUAAAGGGCGCGUAGGCGGCCCUCCAAGUCGGGCGUGAAAGCCCACGGCUCAACCGUGGAAUUGCGCUCGAGACUGAAGGGCUCGAGGACGGGAGAGGAUGGUGGAAUUCUCGGUGUAGAGGUGAAAUUCGUAGAUAUCGAGAGGAACACCGGUGGCGAAGGCGGCGAUCUGGACGAUGACUGACGCUGAGACGCGAAAGCGUGGGGAGCAAACAGG